rnacentral:lncRNA from 1 species
AAUAAUGGGAUUUUGGGGCAUUCCUUCAGCAGUCCUUUCACCUCACAUUCUCAGUUUUGUUUCCAAAAAAGAAAAAAGGAAUAGCCUGUCUACUCCAGAUGAAGCUAGACAGUCUUGUUUUUCCAGCAAAAAAUGCGGGAAGUUGUAACAGAGCAAGACAUCACUAGCAAAUUGGAAAAGGCCUCAGGAAAAAAAAAAAACYUUUCUGACAAUACUGGAUUAGUCCGCUGAUGAAAGUGCCAGCUUUUUGAAAAAAGGCAAAACAAAGAUGCUUCUUGCCUGCAGUCAUCAAAAAUCCCUGAUUCGCUUU